rnacentral:rRNA from 1 species
GACGAACGCUGGCGGCGUGCCUAAUACAUGCAAGUCGAACGCAGUGGGGACGGGUGAGUAACACGUGGGUAACCUCCCAUCAGAGGGGAUAAAACUUGGAAACAGGUGCUAAACCGAUACUGAUGGAUGGACCCGCGGUGCAUGAGCUAGUUGGUGAGGUAACGGCUCACCAGGGCCACGAUGCAUAGCGGACCUGAGAGGGUGAUGGGGCGCACUGGGAGUGACGCAGGGCCCAGACGCAUACGGGAGGCAGAAGUAGGGAAUCUUCGGCAAGGGAAGAAAGUCUGACCGAGCAACGCCGCGUGAGUGAAGAAGGUUUUCGGACCGUAAAACUCUGGUGUUAGAGAAGCGGUAUCUAACCAGAAAGCCACGGCUAACUACGGGCCAGCAGCCGCGGUAAUAC